AUCCUGGGUGAUGAAGAAAAUCGUUCGGAUUCCCACUGAUAUUUCAUGAUUAGUGUAACCAGCUACUUCUGACGGAU
rfam:Triticum aestivum genome assembly, contig: Triticum_aestivum_CS42_TGACv1_scaffold_436619_5DL